AUCCCAGCUGCCCCCGAAUCUCCCGGCUUUUCUUCUUCGGCACAGCGAUGCAGUGACUUCAUCUGCCUACCUAGCUACUGACCCUCCGCGUGGGUGUUUUGAUCUAGCUCUACCUCUUAUCUCUCAGUAAGGCACAUGCGAUACAUAGAAAUAAUAUUUUUAUUCAUUUGCUUGAUAAUCAUUCUUGCUUUUUAUGGGGUUUACAGAGAUGAAAAAAAUGUAAAUUGUUAUUAUUUUAUUUAGGAGGUAUCAUGUGUCAUAAAAUUGAUGGGCAAGUGUGUGACCCUGCGUGUAGCAAGUACAUAAAAAUAGUGAUAUAUCCCCCAGCGCCAUAAUUUAUAAACCCUGCCAUGUAGUAAUGUAUAGUGCAAUCUAUUGCUGAAAAAAUGCAUAAAUUAAAAAGUUCGUUUAUAAAUCAGCACGAAAAUAUCUCUAAUAAGAUUACAUUACAUAAAUUAUUCUUUAAAAAGUCCAUACCUUACGUUUUUUAUUUUCUAUUUAUUCGAAUGGGCUUUGAAAAAUGAAUAAAAAGCAAAUCCAAGGAACUUUUAAAAAAUUAUUUUCUAUUCAAGUUUUCUGUUUGCUUUUGAAGUAAUGCCUGUUUCUUUAAAUCCACCACAACAGUAUGAAGACAACGUUUAAAGGCUUCCAGAGUGACAGCACCAUGCACUGUACUAAUAAUAUAAUAUCUCUAUGAACUAUAUAUAUAUAUAUAUCAUCACCAACACACAGCACAGAGGACAUGCAGGAAGAGUCUGUUUCACAUUACAUUGUUCAUUCAAGUAAGCUGAAAAAUAUAAUGAUUUUUUUUCUUCCGUACAAACCACGGCAUCAUAAACAACCAUCUAUCACCAAAAUUAAUAGCAGAAUUCUUUGGUGUGCUCUGUACUCUUCCGGGGGGGGGGAGGAAAAGGGGGGGUGAUGUCAGAAAAUAAAUUAAUUCGACUGUACAAAAUAAUCGCGGCCGCGUACACGUUAUUGACACUGACAAGACGACAUCCACCAUUCACAGCGCACAAAACAAGUUUCCAGCGCGCCUGGGGGAGGGGAGGGGAGGGGAGGGGAGGCGCCCGCCGGGUCUCCGAGGAGGCAUUAGCGCUCUUUAGCGGCCCCGCUCGCCGCCCCGGCCCCCUCCGCGCCCGGGCCCGGCCUGGGCGCCCCUCGCCCCCACUGCCCGGCAGCUCCGGCCUCCUCCUCCUCCUCCUCCUCCUCCCAGGUGACUCUGCCCGGCCGCUCGGCCAUUGCAUGGGGCUGGUGACAAGCGAGAGUGGCUGCAGAGAAGAAAUACAACUAAAACAACAGAAAAAAAAUCAUUUUUUUUACCCCCCUCGGCCCACCAGCCCGAGACACACACCCCCCCCCGGCAGCCUGUGUGCCCCGUCGAGGGCAAAGCCCGGCGAGAUGCCAAGUCUUCGUUUCCUAGACGAACUUAAAAAAAUAAUAGCUGCAAUAAUACCAGCCCCAAGAAAACGGAAAAUCUCUGUCAGCUUUCGUGUGCUUUUUAGGAAAAAAAAAUGUAUCACAGUAUCGCAGUUGUCAAAUAGCAGCGGGUUUCUUUUAUUCUCCGGCUACGUUUUAGGAGCCGUAAGCAUACAAAAUGUAGAGAAGCAGCAAGAGGAGUGCUGCAGCUUUUGUCUUCCCUUUCCUAAAUCGUUUUCACACGGUUACAGCUAAGGGAGAAAGAAACAGGCUGGACAGAAAAUACCGGGUGCGGAUGGACCCCCCGACUCAGCGGAGAAAGCAACAAUCACAAAGGAGCCGAACUGAAAGAGGGGGGGUGGAAAACGCAUUUAUUUCGUUUUAUUUUACGGGAGGCGUAACCUGUCCUCGGCUGGUGGCGGUUCAGCAGGUGCCGGGUCGCAGUGAGGAGGCCACUGCGGACCUGGGGCUCUCCCAGCCCGACAGGGAGGCCUGGGACGGGAGCGGGAGUAUUUAGGGCCUCUGCGGGAAGCGGAGGCGGCUCUGCCCGCCGCAGCCCGUCCCCUCUGCCUCUCCUGCGGGCAGAGCUGCGGGGCGGGCAGGGGGCUGCAGCAAGCGCCCGGCGACCCCGGGCAUCCCCCUUGGCACCGUGCCCCUCGCACCAGCAGCUGGGUCCAGCGCGGCGUCGGCGAUCCUUUUUUUCCUUACCAAAACCAGAAGUCCGAGUCUCUGUAAUUAAAUUAACCGUACAAACACCAUAGGGUUUCGUACGCGGAAUAAAUAGCGCGAGUCCGGCGCGGCGGCGCCGCCG
rnacentral:lncRNA from 1 species